rnacentral:rRNA from 1 species
UGCAGUCGAGCGCCCCGCAGGGGGAGCGGCAGACGGGUGAGUAACGCGUGGGAAUCUACCCAUCACUACGGAACAACUCCGGGAAACUGGAGCUAAUACCGUAUACGUCCUUCGGGAGAAAGAUUUAUCGGUGAUGGAUGAGCCCGCGUUGGAUUAGCUAGUUGGUGGGGUAAUGGCCUACCAAGGCGACGAUCCAUAGCUGGUCUGAGAGGAUGAUCAGCCACACUGGGACUGAGACACGGCCCAGACUCCUACGGGAGGCAGCAGUGGGGAAUAUUGGACAAUGGGCGCAAGCCUGAUCCAGCCAUGCCGCGUGAGUGAUGAAGGCCCUAGGGUUGUAAAGCUCUUUCAACGGUGAAGAUAAUGACGGUAACCGUAAAAAAAGCCCCGGCUAUCUUCGUGCCAG